UGGGGAAUAUUGGACAAUGGGCGCAAGCCUGAUCCAGCCAUGCCGCGUGUGUGAAGAAGGUCUUCGGAUUGUAAAGCACUUUAAGUUGGGAGGAAGGGCAGUAAGUUAAUACCUUGCUGUUUUGACGUUACCGACAGAAUAAGCACCGGCUAACUCUGUG
rnacentral:rRNA from 1 species